rnacentral:misc_RNA from 1 species
AAUUUUUCCAGCUACUGUCUGUUCUGUUGCGCACUGUCACUGCCCUUUCCCUCUAGGAAAUCUCAUUUGCCAUGAUCGCUCUGAGCCAUCGAGUCUCGGCCGCUGCCGCCGUGCCGGUUGCGCCACUUUUAUAUCGUCUCCUCGCUGUCUGCCGAUUGUACACGACUGCUGGCGCAGCCCAACCGCAGCUCGACCCCGAUUACUACUACUACAACGACAACAGCAACUACCGUGAGCGAAGCCGCAAUCGGCUUGCCAAGGCUCCAAUGGCCGACUCCGAAAGCUCGGUUCCGAGAAGAGGAGUGCACUGGGCGUUCAUAGGAUAUCCGCGCAUCAAGAAGCGCAUGUACGUUGAGAGACUCUCUGAGCUUCUAGAAGUCCCCUACAUUUCUAUGGCUAGUCUCGUUCGUCAAGAACUGAACCCAGGCACCUCUCUCUACAAACAGAUUGCAAAUGCUGUAAAUCGUGGUAAACUUGUUCCAGAGGAUAUAAUUUUUGGCUUGCUGUCUAAGAGGUUAGAAGAUGGGUAUUACAGAGGUGAAACUGGUUUUAUUUUGGAUGGAAUUCCUCGUUCAAAGUUACAAGCUGAGAUUCUUGAUGAACUUGCAAAGAUUGAUUUGGUUGUGAAUUUUAAAUGCACCGAUGAUUUCUUGAUAAAGAACCAAGAAGAAGGUGCCUGGAAAGAUAAGCUCCAAGCCUAUAUUGAGCAGAGCAAACCACUAGAAGAAUAUUACAGGAAACAGAAAAAUCUUCUUGACUUUCAAGUAGUUGGUGCACCUAGAGAGACUUGGCAAGGGCUUUUGGCUGCAUUACGUCUAGAACAUAUAAAUGCUGUAAAUUGUUCGAAGAAACUGACUUCAGGGUACACCUUGCCCUAAACUCCCACCAUUCCCUAUAAGUGCAACUUUAUUGCAAAUACAAGUGAUGUGAAUAGCAUUACUUACAGCAGGAAAUAUCUGUGGUGAAUUUAGGUAGCAUAUGUGCAAUUGUCUUUUUCUUUUUUAUAUUGGCAACUGUAAACGAUUUUGAUGAUGCAAGUGUGUGAUAUAUGUGUUUUCUGAUCUCACUUGUGUUCAAUCGAUUAAAAAGAGGGUGA